AACGAACGCUGGCGGCAUGCCUAACACAUGCAAGUCGAACGAGACCUUCGGGUCUAGUGGCGCACGGGUGCGUAACGCGUGGGAACCUGCCCUUAGGUUCGGAAUAACUCCCCGAAAGGGGUGCUAAUACCGGAUAAUGUCUUCGGACCAAAGAUUUAUCGCCUUUGGAUGGGCCCGCGUUGGAUUGGCUAGUUGGUAGGGUAAAAGCCUACCAAGGCGACGAUCCAUAGCUGGUCUGAGAGGAUGAUCAGCCACACUGGGACUGAGACACGGCCCAGACUCCUACGGGAGGCAGCAGCGGGGAAUAUUGGACAAUGGGCGAAAGCCUGAUCCAGCAAUGCCGCGUGAGUGAUGAAGGCCUUAGGGUUGUAAAGCUCUUUUACCCGGGAUGAUAAUGACAGUACCGGGAGAAUAAGCUCCGGCUAACUCCGUG
rnacentral:rRNA from 1 species